GACGGAAGGGGCAAGCGUUGUUCGGAAUCACUGGGCGUAAAGCGCGUGUAGGCGGCCAGAUAAGUCGGGUGUGAAAGCCCGAGGCUCAACCUCGGAAGUGCAUUCGAAACUGUCGGGCUUGAGUAUGGGAGAGGGAAGCGGAAUUCCUGGUGUAGAGGUGAAAUCCGUAGAUAUCAGGAGGAACACCGGUGGCGAAGGUGGCCUCCUGGACCGUUUCUGACGCUGAGAUGCGAAAGCGUGGGGAGGAAACAGG
rnacentral:rRNA from 1 species